rnacentral:rRNA from 1 species
AGAGUUUGAUCAUGGCUCAGAACGAACGCUGGCGGCAGGCCUAACACAUGCAAGUCGAACGAGAAGCCACCUUCGGGUGGUGGACAGUGGCAGACGGGUGAGUAACGCGUGGGAACGUGCCUUUCGGUUCGGGAUAACCCAGGGAAACUUGGGCUAAUACCGGAUACGCCCUUCGGGGGAAAGAUUCAUUGCCGAAAGAUCGGCCCGCAUCGGAUUAGCUAGUUGGUGGGGUAAUGGCCUACCAAGGCGACGAUCCGUAGCUGGUCUGAGAGGAUGACCAGCCACACUGGGACUGAGACACGGCCCAGACUCCUACGGGAGGCAGCAGUGGGGAAUAUUGGACAAUGGGCGCAAGCCUGAUCCAGCCAUGCCGCGUGGGUGAAGAAGGCCUUAGGGUUGUAAACCCCUUUCAGCGGGGAAGAUAAUGACGGUACCCGCAGAAGAAGUCCCGGCUAACUCCGUGCCAGCAGCCGCGGUA